rnacentral:rRNA from 1 species
UAUGAUCUCGGUUCUAUUUUGUUGGUUUUCAGAACUCCGAGGUAAUGAUUAAUAGGGAUAACUGGGGGCAUUCGUAUUGCGACGUUAGAGGUGAAAUUCUUGGAUCGUCGCAAGACGAMCAUCAGCGAAAGCAUUUGCCAAAGGUGUUUUCAUCAAUCAAGAACGAAAGUUAGAGGUUCGAAGGCGAUUAGAUACCGCCCUAGUUCUAACCGUAAAUAUGUCAUCURCGAUCCGCCGACGUUACUACAAUGGCUCGGCGGGCAGCUUCCGGGAAACC